rnacentral:rRNA from 1 species
AGCGAACGCUGGCGGCAGGCCUAACACAUGCAAGUCGAACGGAUCCUUCGGGAUUAGUGGCGGACGGGUGAGUAACACGUGGGAACGUGCCCUUUGGUUCGGAACAACUCAGGGAAACUUGAGCUAAUACCGGAUGUGCCCUUCGGGGGAAAGAUUUAUCGCCAUUGGAGCGGCCCGCGUCUGAUUAGCUAGUUGGUGAGGUAACGGCCCACCAAGGCGACGAUCAGUAGCUGGUCUGAGAGGAUGAUCAGCCACACUGGGACUGAGACACGGCCCAGACUCCUACGGGAGGCAGCAGUGGGAAAUCUUGCGCAAUGGGCGAAAGCCUGACGCAGCCAUGCCGCGUGAAUGAUGAAGGUCUUAGGAUUGUAAAAUUCUUUCAGCGGGGACGAUAAUGACGGUACCCGCAGAAGAAGCUCCGGCUAACUUCGC